CGGGUUUUAAGACGACUUGGCAUUGCCAAGUCUCUCUCUUCUCUAUAAAAGCCAGAUUCAUUUUCAUUGUAUAUCUCAACCAACACUAGAGUUCUUACCCUGUACGUUUCUUCUCUCAUUUUCCUCUUUCACAACUCAUGAAUUUUUAUCUCAGAUUCUGUCAUUUCUUCGAAGAAGAAUACCAUCAGGAUAUAUAUAAUUGGGAAGAAGAAGCUAAGGCUGGCCGUCCAUUAAUGGUGGAUGAGAAAAUGUUGACAGAAGAGAGAGAGCACAACCCACCAUUGGCUGAAGAAUGUCUUAGCUUUUGUUGGGAGUGUGCUUUCUCUUCUUCUGUCAUCAUCAUCAUCUCCUCCUUCUAUAUAUGUGACAUAAUUUCAAGUCAAAUAUGAAAAUAUGGACAUCCAUUGAUAGACAGAAGUGGAAAAUUGAAUACCUUGGCUCUCUUUUGACUGCUGCAGCAUGUGAAGCACCACAAGUAUCAAUUACUUGGCUUCGGGUUUGGCAUUAAAGGCUGUUGAUGCCAAAAAUCGCAUGCUGAAUUCAAUAUAAAAAAGGUCAAAGCGGAUAAUACUUUACAGUUUUAAGUGGUUUGUUACGUGUGGAUCAACACAACAUCAAACAGUGGCCCUGUUUUCUGGGGACGAUGGUGCUCUCCCCAAGCCUGUCGACUAGGGGCUGUAUUGAUGCUGCAAAUUACACAUCAAACAGAGUCAAGGCAUGCUAGUGAAGGCCAAAAUAGACAAUAACUCCAGCUUUUAAAUGGUUUUAACUGAUUUGCUACGUGUGGAUCGAGGAUCAAGGCAAUGUCAACACAGGACGGCAACAACAACACAGGUGAUAGAGAAUAUAGAUGUUGACUCUGAAAAUUACAUGUUCUAUGUACUUUUGUAGCUACUGAAAUGGUCCCAAUACCUUUUUCUUGGCAAUUUCAGUUUGGCUGUGCUCUGAUCCUUGCAGUUGCAGACCACAGUGAACCUGAUGGAGAAUGUUCUGCCAUUUUUUGGGUUUCUUUUUCGGGAUUGUUUGGUCAUCUGGAAAGAUGAAGCUCUGAUUGUUAGUCAGUGUCUAUCUAUAGUUUUUUUAAUGGAAAGAAAGCUCUGCAUUUCUUAGAGAA